rnacentral:rRNA from 1 species
CGCCUGUUUAUCAAAAACAUGGCCUUAGGAAUUUAUCUAAGGUUAUACCUGCCCAAUGUACUAUUAUCAACGGCCGCGGUUCUUUGACCGAGCGACGGUAGCUUAAUCAGUUGGCUCUUAAUUAGGGUCAGGAAUGAAUGGAGUUACGUGGUUCAACUGUCUCCUAACUAUUUAUUUGAAAUUACUAUAUAGAUGAAAAAGUCUAUAAUUCGAAAAAAGACGAGAAGACCCUUAGAGUUUUUCUUAAUGUGAUAAAUAUGAUCAUAAUGGUUUUGUUGGGGCAACACGGGAGCAAGACAUUAAUCUCUCUAAUAAAUUAAUCAAUUAUUUUAAAUAUGAAUAAACUACCUUAGGGAUAACAGCAUUAUGUAAAAAAUAAGUUUGUGACCUCGAUGUUGGACUGGGAAAUUUAAAGGCUAGCCGUCUUUAAAGAAAGUUCUGUUCGAACUAAUAUUCCCACGUGAUCUGAGUUCAGACCGG